UAGGGAAUCUUCCACAAUGGGCGAAAGCCUGAUGGAGCAACACCGCGUGAGUGAAGAAGGGUUUCGGCUCGUAAAGCUCUGUUGUUGGAGAAGAACGUGCGUGAGAGUAACUGUUCACGCAGUGACGGUAUCCAACCAGAAAGUCACGGCUAACUACGUGCCAC
rnacentral:rRNA from 1 species